AACGAACGCUGGCGGCGUGCCUAACACAUGCAAGUCGUGCGAGAAGGUUCCUUCGGGAGCGAGUAAAGCGGCGCACGGGUGAGUAACACGUAGGUAACCCGCCCCCAGUCUGGAACAACUAGAGGAAACUCUAGCUAAUGCCGGAUGAGACCACGAUCCCUUCGGGGGUUGCGGCCAAAGAUGGCCUCUACUUGUAAGCUAUCGCUGAGGGAUGGGCCUGCGGGCCAUUAGCUUGUUGGUGAGGUAACGGCUCACCAAGGCUGUGAUGGCUAGCUGGUCUGAGAGGAUGACCAGCCACACUGGGACUGAGACACGGCCCAGACUCCUACGGGAGGCGGCAGUGGGGGAAUAUUGCGCAAUGGGCGAAAGCCUGACGCAGCGACGCCGCGUGGGUGAUGAAGGCCUGGUCGUAAGACCCUCGUCGCAGGGAAGGAA
rnacentral:rRNA from 1 species